UCCGGGUGAUUUAACACAGGGUUCCACCUGUUCCCAUCCCGAACACAGCAGUUAAGACCUGUGGUCCCCACAAUAGUAAUUCAUUUGGAUUGCCAAGAUAGGGUUUGCCCGGAA
rnacentral:rRNA from 1 species